rnacentral:rRNA from 1 species
GACGAACGCUGGCGGCACGCUUAACACAUGCAAGUCGAACGAGAGAAGAGAGGCUUGCUUUUCUGAUCUAGUGGCGGACGGGUGAGUAACACGUGAGCAAUCUGCCUUUCAGAGGGGGAUACCGAUUGGAAACGAUCGUUAAUACCGCAUAACAUAAUUGAACCGCAUGAUUUGAUUAUCAAAGAUUUAUCGCUGAAAGAUGAGCUCGCGUCUGAUUAGCUAGUUGGUAAGGUAACGGCUUACCAAGGCGACGAUCAGUAGCCGGACUGAGAGGUUGAUCGGCCACAUUGGGACUGAGACACUGCCCAGACUCCUACGGGAGGCAGCAGUGGGGAAUAUUGCACAAUGGAGGAAACUCUGAUGCAGCGAUGCCGCGUGAGGGAAGAAGGUUUUAGGAUUGUAAACCUCUGUCUUCAGGGACGAAAAAAGACGGUACCUGAGGAGGAAGCUCCGGCUAACUACGUG